AGAGAAUCAAAGAUUACAACAUAAUUUUCUACCCGGGUGACUAAGGGCGCGGUGCUAUUUGCUGGAAAUAGGGAAGUCAGAAGAAGGCGCUGGUUAAGUAAAAGGCAGAAAUUGCUCUACUUGGACCGUUUGGGUUGAAAAUGCUAGUGAGUCAUCCCAGUGGCGGUGACCUGCAGACUGUUGGAAAAGAGGCACUAAAGAGAGAGGCUAAGGAUAGGGAGGUGGAUUUGGGAGCUAGCUCCAAAGAGGGUCGCACCACGGGAAUGAAUCAUGGCCCAGGAAGGGACUGUAGGACAAGGAAAGAGGACUAAGGCUGGACCUUGGUGACAGAACACUGAUGGGACAAGCAGAAGAAGAGGAACCAUGAGGAAGACUAAAGAGGAAUAACACUAAUGAGGAGAAGCAAGGCAGUUCAGUGUCAUGGAAGCCAAAAAUAUGGAGACAUCAAGAGGGAAAUUAAGAUCAGAAAAGAGAACAAGAGAAGAUGGCUGGUUGGUUGCUGGACACCAGAAUAUGAAGAAAUUGAUCCCCUACCUCAAGAAAUGAGAGGAAUAUUGAGAGCAUCAGACCGAAGAUUUGGAGUAUGGUUCAAAUUCAUGAUCUAUCUUCUCCAAGUGUUGGCUUUCUCCUCUCUGUUGACGACCUACUAUGUACCAUUUUGAAUGCCCAUUGGACUUAAUAAACUUACCUCUCGAGGUAUUUGGCUCA
rnacentral:lncRNA from 1 species